GGUGAGUAAUGCCUAGGAAUCUGCCUGGUAGUGGGGGACAACGUUUCGAAAGGAACGCUAAUACCGCAUACGUCCUACGGGAGAAAGCAGGGGACCUUCGGGCCUUGCGCUAUCAGAUGAGCCUAGGUCGGAUUAGCUAGUUGGUGAGGUAAUGGCUCACCAAGGCGACGAUCCGUAACUGGUCUGAGAGGAUGAUCAGUCACACUGGAACUGAGACACGGUCCAGACUCCUACGGGAGGCAGCAGUGGGGAAUAUUGGACAAUGGGCGAAAGCCUGAUCCAGCCAUGCCGCGUGUGUGAAGAAGGUCUUCGGAUUGUAAAGCACUUUAAGUUGGGAGGAAGGGCAUUAACCUAAUACGUUAGUGUUUUGACGUUACCGACAGAAUAAGCACCGGCUAACUCUGUGCCAGCAGCCGCGGUAAUACAGAGGGUGCAAGCGUUAAUCGGAAUUACUGGGCGUAAAGCGCGCGUAGGUGGUUUGUUAAGUUGGAUGUGAAAGCCCCGGGCUCAACCUGGGAACUGCAUCCAAAACUGGCAAGCUAGAGUACGGUAGAGGGUGGUGGAAUUUCCUGUGUAGCGGUGAAAUGCGUAGAUAUAGGAAGGAACACCAGUGGCGAAGGCGACCACCUGGACUGAUACUGACACUGAGGUGCGAAAGCGUGGGGAGCAAA
rnacentral:rRNA from 1 species